AACGAACGCUGGCGGCAGGCUUAACACAUGCAAGUCGAACGGGUGUCGCAAGACAUCAGUGGCAGACGGGUGAGUAACACGUGGGAACCUUCCUAGGGGUACGGAACAACUCAGGGAAACUUGAGCUAAUACCGUAUACGUCCGUAAGGAGAAAGAUUCAUCGCCCCUAGACGGGCCCGCGUCGGAUUAGGUAGUUGGUGGGGUAACGGCCUACCAAGCCUACGAUCCGUAGCUGAUCUGAGAGGANGAUCAGCCACACUGGGACUGAGACACGGCCCAGACUCCUACGGGAGGCAGCAGUGGGGAAUCUUGGACAAUGGGCGCAAGCCUGAUCCAGCCAUGCCGCGUGAGUGAAGAAGGCCUUAGGGUUGUAAAGCUCUUUUACCAGGGACGAUAAUGACGGUACCUGGAGAAUAAGCCCCGGCAAACUUCGUGCCAGCAGCAGCCGCAGUAAG
rnacentral:rRNA from 1 species